GGUUCCCUCAGCCUGGUUGGCAAUCAGGUGUUGAGUGUAAGUGCACAAGGGAGCUUGACUGUGAGACCGACGGGUCGAGCAGGGACGAAAGUCGGGACUAGUGAUCCGGCGGUGGCUUGUGGAAGCGCCGUCGCUCAACGGAUAAAAGGUACCCCGGGGAUAACAGGCUGAUCUUCCCCAAGAGUCCAUAUCGACGGGAUGGUUUGGCACCUCGAUGUCGGCUCGUCGCAUCCUGGGGCUGGAGUCGGUCCCAAGGGUUGGGCUGUUCGCCCAUUAAAGCGGUACGCGAGCUGGGUUUAGAACGUCGUGAGACAGUUCGGUCCCUAUCCGCUGUGCGCGUAGGAGUCUUGAGAAGGGCUGUCCCUAGUACGAGAGGACCGGGACGGACGAACCUCUGGUGUGCCAGUUGUUCUGCCAAGGGCAUGGCUGGUUGGCUACGUUCGGGAGGGAUAACCGCUGAAAGCAUCUAAGCGGGAAGCCUGCUUCGAGAUGAGGACUCCCACCCACUUGAUGGGGUAAGGCUCCCAGUAGACGACUGGGUUGAUAGGCCGGAUCUGGAAGCACGGUAACGUGUGGAGGUGACCGGUACUAAUAGGCCGAGGGCUUGUCCUCAGUUG
rnacentral:rRNA from 1 species